AAUAGAUCCCGCUUCCUUCCUCCGAAGCCGCGGGCCUGGAAGGAGCUGGGGCCUGGGGAGGAGAAGGCCCCGGGCGCCGAGGAGGAGCCGGUGGAGGCCCUGCUGGGCCUGGUGCGCGGCCCGCAGUCGCCCUGGGCCCUGCCCGAGGACUCCAGCGCGGAGGACCGGUUUCUCCGAGAGCUGGCCAUCCGGAGCCCCACGAUGAUCAGAGACACCUUCUUCUACGCCUACUUCCGGUCCCUGCGGGUGGUGGACAAGCAGGUGAGCCAAGUGGACAAAGACCUCCUCAAGUUCCUGAGGCUGGAGGAGCUGGUCCUGAGCGCGAACCGCAUCAAGGAAGUGGAAGCUGCCAACCUGCCCCCCACGCUCAAGGUGCUGGAGCUGUACGGUAACGAGCUGACCAGCAUGGAGUGUCUGUGCGCGCACCCGCCGCCGGGCCUGCGCCACCUGGGUCUGGGCCAAAACCAGCUGCGGGGCCCCUCUGAGAGCCUCUACGUCACCGCCAGCCACUGGCCCAACCUCGUCUCCCUGGACCUGGGCUUCAACGACCUGACCGGCCUGCAGGCCAUGGUGACCGCGCUGCGCUCGCUCGGCCGCCUGCGGCUGCUGGUGCUACAGGGGAACCCGCUGGCGCUGCUGCCGCACUACCGCGGCUUCACCGUGGACAGCCUGGCCCGGCUGUGCGUGCUGGACGACGUCACCGUGUCGCCGCACGAGAGGCACCAGUUCCGCGGGCUGGCCCAGCAGGGCGAGCUCUUGGCGCAGGAGGCGCAGCUGAUGGUGACCAUCGGGAACAUCCGGGGGGUCGUGGACUCCUCUGUCUUGGACCCGGAGCCCGGGCCCGAGGGCCCCUUUGUCACUUACAGCUACUACGUGACCUACGACUUCUUGGAAGAGGAGGAGGCUGAGGCCAAGGAGUACAGCGAGGUCCUGGCCGAGAUCGUGAAGCCCCUGUCCAACACGGAGCUGCUGGAGGAGGAGGUCCCCGAGGAGGUCCCUGAGGAGGUCCCCGAGGAGGGCACCGAGGAGGGCACCGAGGAGGACAUGGCCGAGGGGUCCCUGGAGUCAGUGGACACCACGGAGCAGGCGGAGUCCGAGUCCUCAGUCAUUUCGGGCCGCUCGGGCCGCUCGGGCCGCUCGGGCCACUCGCCCCCGAAGCCGCCGUCCACUGACUCGGGGGAGGAGCUGGCCAAGCUGCGGCCGCGCAUGGAUCCGCGGCUGUGCCCCGCCCUGGGGACGGCCCUCUUCAGCACGGAGCACAAGCCCUGGGCCGACAUCAUCGCCUGCAGCUACGAGGCGCGGCACGGUGUCAAGGACCUGGGGCCCCUCAAGGCCUUCCUGCUGGCGGGGACCACGGUGACCGUCGUGGAGGAGAAGACCCUCUCCUGGCCGGUGGUGACCCCGCCUACUGACAGUCCCCUGGCAGCCAAGAAAGGAAAAGGGGCAAAUGACAAGAAGAAGGACAAGGACAAGAAGGACAAGGACAGAAAGGACCAGAAAGGGAAAGCAGAGGAGCCCUCCAAGGAACGGAAGGCAUCGCAGAGGAAGAGAGAUGCCCCCAAGGAGCUGCGCCAGGACCCGCCCGUGCUGCAGGUGCUGGGCAGCGGCCUGGUGGCCCUGGAGCCCCUGCUGGCCGGGGAGCCCGUGGUGUCCACUGUGUGCAACUUUGGGGUGGUCCGCACCCAGGAAUCGGACAGGCUGACGUUUGCCAGGGACUCAAAGAAGAUUAAGAAAGGAGCCAAGAAGGUACAAGUGGUCUUGGGGACAGAGGUCGCCGCCCUGUGGAGUCACGCAGACAGCGGCGCUGCAUAACGCCCGCUCGAGUGCGCGCGAGCCUGCUCCGCGAGGCCGUCCAAUCCGAGCGUCCACUCGCGCGGAAAGGACGAAAUCAGUAGCGCCGGUCUUCGAAAGCGACUACCAGCCUGAGCCGCUGACCGUGGAGGUCGAGAUCCAGCUGGGCCAGAUCCGC